rnacentral:rRNA from 1 species
GAGGAAUAUUGGACAAUGGGCGCAAGCCUGACCCAGCCAUGCCGCGUGCAGGAAGACGGCCCUCUGGGUUGUAAACUGCUUUUGAAUGGGAAGAAUGUGUGGCUUGCGAGCUAUAAUGACGGUACCAUUAGAAUAAGCCACGGCUAACUACGUGCCAGCAGCCGCGGUAAUACGUAGGUGGCGAGCGUUAUCCGGAUUUAUUGGGUUUAAAGGGUGCGUAGGCGGCUUAAUAAGUCGGUGGUAAAAGGUAGCAGCUUAACUGUUUUACAUGCCAUCGAUACUGUUGAGCUUGAGUUAUUUGGAGGCAGCUAGAAUUUCCGGUGUAGCGGUGAAAUGCAUAGAUACCGGAAGGAAUACCGAUUGCGAAGGCAGGUUGCUACGAAUAUACUGACGCUGAUGCACGAAAGCGUGGGGAUCAAAC